UAUAUGACUGUAUUUAAUUUUAAGUUAAAUAAAAAUUUACAAUUCUCAACCGCUAGAUGGCAACUGUGGCUCUACUGAGACAUGACCACUGGCAACGCGAGACUUGAACGUUAGCUCUCGAUCACUGUUGCCAGAUCUCGCGAUAAACAUUUCCGCAUUUUACAACUGUUGGAGACGGAGAGCAAGCAACAGCAAAUGUUAAAGCAAAUUCUUUCCUGCUUUUGGUCUUCUGAAAAGACCAAAAGGGACUUUUGGAAGUGAACGGAGGAGACAGAAAGCUGCAAAGGCAAAUAUUUUCAGUGAAGGAAAUCCUACAGUUAUGUGUGAACUCACAACAUCAUCAUCAAGUGCUGGGCACAUUGGGCAACAAGUGUCCUCCAAUGUAUCUAAUCUGUGGCCACGUUUUCCACAUCUUCCCAUGGGACACCGACAUUCUUCAGGUCUUCGUGAAACAUCUGUCUCCACAUCUUCCUUGGUCUUCCCUGUCCCCUGCAUUCUCCUGGUGGUGUCCACUUCAUAACUGUGUUUGGGUGUUGUUUGGUCAUGCUUAGGAUGUGUCCAGGGAGGUGCACCCUUUGCUCUGUCACAGUUUUUAAAAGUCUUCACGUGGACUCCUCCUUAUGAUCUCCUUGAAACGUGCAGAACCAAUAUUGAAAAUAGUAAUUUAUCUUUUUCCGUAUUGUUGCCUUUAUCAAAGAAGCACUAGUGCUCAUCCGGAGUUUUGGUAAAAGACAUUCAUUGCCAUCCACUAGUUCUAGUCAUGCAGCGACUUCAUGAUGCGAUAGUCAAAUAUAUAUUUCUGCAUGUGUGUUUAGCAGGUGUUUGUCCGAACAAUUGAAGAUAAGUGAGAGUGUUCAGGAAAACCCUUUGAAAACAAUCAGUAUUUAUGUAAUUCUGUUUGGUGCUGAUAGAGUAUUACAGAAAUGACACAUUUUAGGGAUGGGCAUAUCGAUAUGAAGUAUCGAUAUAUCGAUACUGACGUUGACUAUUGAAAGUAUCGAUACUCAAAUAAAAAUAUCAAUACUAAGGUGUGUUUUUUUUACCAGUGAUUUUGUUUAAUUAACAAUAAAUGUAAUGCAUACAAUAUGCAUUGAAUUGGACAAAUAACCUAUGUUAGCGAAUAAUUGUGUUGUAGAACUAUUUUCCUGCUCAUCUGAGCACACGCAAAUGCUGCAAGUCAGAACCAAUCAAUCACAGAGAGCGUUCGCUCACUGCCGACACUACAUUCAAACGGCUGCAUGCGUUUAAUAUUGUAAGAAACCAUUGAUGCUUUUGGGAAAUGCAGCCCUGAACAAUGCCUAACAGCAGACAGAACAACAUAAUAUGUUUGAGUUAUUUCACAACAAACAAAAUGAAAUAGCAAUUACAUUUAUUUAAAUUGAACAUUAAAAGUUCUGUUCUGUAACUAUAAUGUCAGAAUACAAAGUUUGCAUUUUAUGGGUGCAACAGCCUGUCACUGGCAGUCCCUUAUGAAACUGAACCAUUACUACAGUGACCAUAGUUCAGCUAAGCCUAUAGUAUUUGUAGAUUUCCAUGGUUACCACUACAAAUAAACAUUUUAACCAUGUGUAAACAAAAAUAUAAUCUAAUAAAUUGCAAUUAAGGCGUAUUGAAUGUUAAAAUACCUUUCAAAUAUAAUGUUAAGUGGGUACCAUUACCCAUUUUACUCAUAGUAAUUCAAUAAUUUAAGGACUUAAAUUAUUAAUAAUUUAAUAACUUAAAUUCAGAUUAAGAGGUAUCGUAUCGAUAUCGGCGAUUUUGGCCUUGAAAGUAUCGGUAUCGUAUCGAAAACAAAAUAAGUGGUAUCUCCCAUCCCUAACACAUUUACAGAAGUUUCUUACCUUUACAUGUAGAUGGACUUAAUGUUUUGCAUUUUGCUCCAUUAAACCUUUUAUUAAAGUGGUCACUAUAGUAAAUGUCCACUUUAACUACAUCUAUGGUUAUGGUGUCAUUAUGUCACUACCUGGAUAAUGUAAAUGUAACCUUGAAUGUAUUUUAUAGAGGCAUUUUAUUGCUGAAAAUAUUUAACAUUUAUAAUAUGCAUUAACUAUUUGAAUUCGCCUUUCAUUUAGUUACAGUAAAAGUGAACAAUAAUCACAAAGAUAUUGUAUUAAAGUUGAUAAUGUAAAAUGUUAUUUUUUUCCCUUAUUCUUUAAAGGGAAGAAACAUAUUUUCACAUAAAAUUUGAUCUCAUCUCUUGGUGUGUAAAAAUAAUACUUCAUCAUGUCGAUGUUUUUAGUUAUAUUUCACUAUAAUAGAUUGCCUCUGUAACUGGAUACUUUUUUUUUUCAGAUUUUUAUACUGUUGUGCAGUAGUUUGGGGACUACAUUUGUCUUUGACAUUAAAUAUUGGAAUAUGAUUACAAAAUUGAGUGCAUUCAUUAUGCUUUUGUUAUAUUUAUUUUAAUUCCAAGAGUUCAAAUGGUGGAGAAUGGUACAAAUAAGUGAUUAAAUGUAUACCUUUUAUAUACUACACAUUUACUGUAAA